GAAUUCUCAGGAUAAUAACUCCCAGAAACCCAGUGCCAGCUAUAACAGGUUCCUGAUCUAAUUCAGCUCAGCUCACAGGAAAGGAUGGCCCACGGAUUACUGGAUUAGACGUCUUUAUGAAUGACAUAGGGAUCUGUAGCAUGAUCUGGGCUCCAAGAUUGGGUUGGGAAUUCAACAAUAUAACUAUUUAUCUGCUAAGAAAACAGCUGGGUGAGUGCACUGCAUCCUGUGUAUAUCCGAGUUCCUAAACCCCAACAAUGAAA